GAUGAACGCUGGCGGCGUGCCUAAUACAUGCAAGUCGAGCGAAUGGAUUAAGAGCUUGCUCUUAUGAAGUUAGCGGCGGACGGGUGAGUAACACGUGGGUAACCUGCCCAUAAGACUGGGAUAACUCCGGGAAACCGGGGCUAAUACCGGAUAACAUUUUGAACCGCAUGGUUCGAAAUUGAAAGGCGGCUUCGGCUGUCACUUAUGGCUGGACCCGCGUCGCAUUAGCUAGUUGGUGCGGUAACGGCUCACCAAGGCAACGAUGCGUAGCCGACCUGAGAGGGUGAUCGGCCACACUGGGACUGAGACACGGCCCAGACUCCCACGGGAGGCAGCAGUAGGGAAUCUUCCGCAAUGGACGAAAGUCUGACGGAGCAACGCCGCGUGAGUGAUGAAGGCUUUCGGGUCGUAAAACUCUGUUGUUAGGGAAGAACAAGUGCUAGUUGAAUAAGCUGGCACCUUGACGGUACCUAACCAGAAAGCCACGGCUAACUACGUGCCAGCAGCCGCAGUAA
rnacentral:rRNA from 1 species